rnacentral:rRNA from 1 species
UACACUCCUGCGGGAGGCAGCAGUGGGGAAUUUUGGACAAUGGGCGAAAGCCUGAUCCAGCCAUGCCGCGUGCAGGAUGAAGGCCUUCGGGUUGUAAACUGCUUUUGUACGGAACGAAACGGCCUUUUCUAAUAAAGAGGGCUAAUGACGGUACCGUAAGAAUAAGCACCGGCUAACUACGUGCCAGCAGCCGCGGUAAUACGUAGGGUGCAAGCGUUAAUCGGAAUUACUGGGCGUAAAGCGUGCGCAGGCGGUUAUGUAAGACAGUUGUGAAAUCCCCGGGCUCAACCUGGGAACUGCAUCUGUGACUGCAUAGCUAGAGUACGGUAGAGGGGGAUGGAAUUCCGCGUGUAGCAGUGAAAUGCGUAGAUAUGCGGAGGAACACCGAUGGCGAAGGCAAUCCCCUGGACCUGUACUGACGCUCAUGCACGAAAGCGUGGGGAGCAAACAGGAUUAGAUACCCGGGUAGUCCCAUGA